rnacentral:rRNA from 1 species
UUAAGCAUAUCAAUAAGCGGAGGAAAAGAAACCAACAGGGAUUACCUCAGUAACGGCGAGUGAAGCGGUAACAGCUCAAAUUUGAAAUCUGGCUCUUUCAGGGUCCGAGUUGUAAUUUGUAGACGAUGCUUUGGGUGUGGUGCCGGUCUAAGUUCCUUGGAACAGGACGUCAUAGAGGGUGAGAAUCCCGUAUGUGAUCGGUCGCCUUCGCCCGUGUAAAGCUCGUUCGACGAGUCGAGUUGUUUGGGAAUGCAGCUCAAAAUGGGUGGUAAAUUUCAUCUAAAGCUAAAUAUUGGCCAGAGACCGAUAGCGCACAAGUAGAGUGAUCGAAAGAUGAAAAGCACUUUGGAAAGAGAGUUAAACAGUACGUGAAAUUGUUGAAAGGGAAGCGCUUGCAACCAGACUUGGGCUGUCGCAAUCAUCCGGGGCUCGCCCCGGUGCACUUGUGGCGGCACAGGCCAGCAUCAGUUUCGGUGGUGGGAUAAAGGCCUUGGGAAUGUAGCUUCUUUCGGGGAGUGUUAUAGCCCUCGGUGCAAUGCCGCCUACCGGGACUGAGGACCGCGCUUCGGCUAGGAUGCUGGCGUAAUGGUUGUAAGCGACCCGUCUUGAAACACGGACCAAGGAGUCUAACAUCUAUGCGAGUGUUUGGGUGUCAAACCCAUACGCGUAAUGAAAGUGAACGGAGGUGAGAACCCGUUAGGGUGCAUCAUCGACCGAUCCUGAUGUCUUCGGAUGGAUUUGAGUAAGAGCAUAGCUGUUGGGACCCGAAAGAUGGUGAACUAUGCCUAAAUAGGGUGAAGCCAGAGGAAACUCUGGUGGAGGCUCGCAGCGGUUCUGACGUGCAAAUCGAUCGUCAAAUUUGGGUAUAGGGGCGAAAGACUAAUCGAACCAUCUAGUAGCUGGUUCCUGCCGAA